CUUCCCUGCUGUCUGUCUCCAGACCCCACUGGGUGGCCAGAAACGCAGUUUUUCCCACCUGCUGCCCUCACCUGAGCCCAGCCCAGAAGGCAGCUACGUGGGCCAGCACUCCCAGGGCCUUGGUGGCCACUACGCGGACUCCUACCUGAAGCGGAAGAGGAUUUUCUAAGGGGUCAGCGCCAGAGAUGCUCCAAGGGCCUGCACCAAGUUGCUUUUGGGUUCUUUCUGGUAUUUGUGUUUUGUGGGAUUUUAUUUUUAUUAUUUUUUUUAUGUCCUUUCUUUGGGUAAUAGAGAAAUCUCUGCAAAAGACUUUGGUGACCAACCAGCUGGAGCUCAAGGAAUGUGGGGUAUCUGGGGGCCAUACCAUUACCUGUGGGCUUGCUCCUGGAACCAAACCCUGCAGCCUUAAGAGAGAGGGGCCUGGCCUGCUCUCUUUCCCUCCCCAGCUCCUGGCCUUCUGUGUUGGCUCUCCAGGCCUCCUCUCCUGCCUCAUCACUCCUGUGUUCUGGCCUUUUGAGUGCCUUUGGAGGUGUCCCUGACCUGUGAGGAUCAGAGACAGUCCCCGUUUUUAAACUUCGACAAUUAACUUUGAUUUCCUUUUCUAAUUUUUAUUAUUUUUUAAAACAACCAGGAUGAUGACCACAUCCACUCCCCUAUCCCUCCAGAAAGCCCCAACUUGAUUUCUUCAGGGUCUGGCCUUCCCUGGGCCUCUGUUCCAACAGCUUAACCCCAUUCUCUUCCCAGUCAUCUGCUGCAGGUAUAGCUGUGUCAUGCCCCUGCCUGCCUACUCCGGCCAGUACCCUAAGCCCCAGGAUCUCCAGCCCCUGCCUUCUGAUGCCUUAAAGUUGGGCCACAGGUCCUGCUGGGUCAGAGCCUCUCAGAUGCGGAGCUCCAAAAGCUCAGCUCAGGACCAAAGAGCUCUGGCCUAGGGUUCAUCCUUUCUCCAGGGUGUCUGCCCUCUGGACAGAAGGCCAAAGCCUUGGUCUUGGCAAACCACCCCUUUUGCCCUAAGCUUGGGUGCAGAGACCAGUAUUUUCUGCUGGCUUCAACAGUGUCCCCUGCUGUCUGUGAAAGGUGACCAUUGUACCCAGGCCACUGGACCUCUACCAUGUUCCUUCAAACCCAGAUCAUCACCAUCCCCAGGCUGGAUCACUGGAGCAGGUCUCCUCUCUGCCCAUCUGAGGGGACCUAGGGACUCUGCCCCUGGCCAGCUGAGCCACCACCAGCCUCCCUCCUCAAACCUGAUGAACCAAACUCACUCCAGUAGGGGGCAUUCCCUCCCCUUUCCCCCUUCCUGCCCUCCCCUGCUCCCUGACCUUUGCUGAAUUAAAGUUUGUAAGUAAACGGUUUUAAGAAAAAAACAUCAGAGCU
rnacentral:lncRNA from 1 species